rnacentral:rRNA from 1 species
AUCAUGGCUCAGAUUGAACGCUGGCGGCAGGCCUAACACAUGCAAGUCGAACGGUAACAGGAAGCAGCUUGCUGCUUCGCUGACGAGUGGCGGACGGGUGAGUAAUGUCUGGGAAACUGCCUGAUGGAGGGGGAUAACUACUGGAAACGGUGGCUAAUACCGCAUAACGUCGCAAGACCAAAGAGGGGGACCUUCGGGCCUCUUGCCAUCAGAUGUGCCCAGAUGGGAUUAGCUAGUUGGUGAGGUAACGGCUCACCAAGGCGACGAUCCCUAGCUGGUCUGAGAGGAUGACCAGCCACACUGGAACUGAGACACGGUCCAGACUCCUACGGGAGGCAGCAGUGGGGAAUAUUGCACAAUGGGCGCAAGCCUGAUGCAGCCAUGCCGCGUGUAUGAAGAAGGCCUUCGGGUUGUAAAGUACUUUCAGCGGGGAGGAAGGUGUUGUGGUUAAUAACCGCAGCAAUUGACGUUACCCGCAGAAGAAGCACCGGCUAACUCCGUGCCAGCAGCCGCGGUAAUACGGAGGGUGCAAGCGUUAAUCGGAAUUACUGGGCGUAAAGCGCACGCAGGCGGUCUGUCAAGUCGGAUGUGAAAUCCCCGGGCUCAACCUGGGAACUGCAUUCGAAACUGGCAGGCUUGAGUCUUGUAGAGGGGGGUAGAAUUCCAGGUGUAGCGGUGAAAUGCGUAGAGAUCUGGAGGAAUACCGGUGGCGAAGGCGGCCCCCUGGACAAAGACUGACGCUCAGGUGCGAAAGCGUGGGGAGCAAACAGGAUUAGAUACCCUGGUAGUCCACGCCGUAAACGAUGUCUACUUGGAGGUUGUGCCCUUGAGGCGUGGCUUCCGGAGCUAACGCGUUAAGUAGACCGCCUGGGGAGUACGGCCGCAAGGUUAAAACUCAAAUGAAUUGACGGGGGCCCGCACAAGCGGUGGAGCAUGUGGUUUAAUUCGAUGCAACGCGAAGAACCUUACCUGGUCUUGACAUCCACAGAACUUUCCAGAGAUGGAUUGGUGCCUUCGGGAACUGUGAGACAGGUGCUGCAUGGCUGUCGUCAGCUCGUGUUGUGAAAUGUUGGGUUAAGUCCCGCAACGAGCGCAACCCUUAUCCUUUGUUGCCAGCGAUUAGGUCGGGAACUCAAAGGAGACUGCCAGUGAUAAACUGGAGGAAGGUGGGGAUGACGUCAAGUCAUCAUGGCCCUUACGACCAGGGCUACACACGUGCUACAAUGGCGCAUACAAAGAGAAGCGACCUCGCGAGAGCAAGCGGACCUCAUAAAGUGCGUCGUAGUCCGGAUUGGAGUCUGCAACUCGACUCCAUGAAGUCGGAAUCGCUAGUAAUCGUGGAUCAGAAUGCCACGGUGAAUACGUUCCCGGGCCUUGUACACACCGCCCGUCACACCAUGGGAGUGGGUUGCAAAAGAAGUAGGUAGCUUAACCUUCGGGAGGGCGCUUACCACUUUGUGAUUCAUGACUGGGGUGAAGUCGUAACAAGGUAACCGUAGGGGAACCUGCGGUUGGAUCACCUCCUUACCUUAAAGAA